rnacentral:lncRNA from 1 species
UGGCUGCCGCCAGAAUUUGUCAUUAGUAUUUUUAAUUUUUGUUCAUAGCACCACCUAUUUUACAUGUGCAUCGCCCUUUAAGUAAUUUCUCUUUGUUACUUAAGAAAGAUUUACAGCGCAUGCCUAGCGCGGGUCAAUGUCAAUAAAAGGCCUACAAACACAUUUUUAGUACGCACGAGAAAAUAGUUCCAUACAUUCAAGCAUAAGAAAUAAGUUAUUAUCAUUAAUUAUGUACUGAAAUGUAAAGUAAUGUUCAUUGAAAUGCGAAUAACAUUAGUAAAUUCUGUCAAAACUAAAUCGUUGGUCGUUUUAAGUAAAAUUCCAGUUGGACAAAUUAUUUGAUAUCCGUGUGCCGAUAAGUUCGGUGAACGCGUUGACCCUUGGCUUUUCUGAAUUACGACCUGGCCCAAGCAAUAUGUGUUUUGUGGGGUCUUCAAGAAACGCCAAAGUUUCAAGGUAUAUUUUGCUGCCCAAGGAUGGAAAAGUCCUGCCAACGAGUUUUCACGGCACUGUUCAUCACUGUUACUUUGUUUUGACAAUCGUUAAGUCAAAUAAAGACAUUCGUCACCAGAAAAUGAA